CCUACGGGAGGCAGCAGUAGGGAAUAUUGGUCAAUGGAGGCAACUCUGAACCAGCCAUGCCGCGUGUAGGAAGAAGGCGUUCUGCGUUGUAAACUACUUUUGAUUGGGAACAAAUGACUCUUGCGAGAGUAGCUGAGUGUACCAAUAGAAUAAGCCACGGCUAACUACGUGCCAGCAGCCGCGGUAAUACGUAGGUGGCAAGCGUUGUCCGGAUUUAUUGGGUUUAAAGGGUGCGUAGGCGGCUUAAUAAGUCAGUGGUGAAAGCCGAUCGCUUAACGAUCGAACUGCCAUUGAUACUGCUAGGCUUGAGUAUAGUUGAGGUAGGCGGAAUUGACAGUGUAGCGGUGAAAUGCAUAGAUAUUGUCAAGAACACCAAUUGCGAAGGCAGCUUACUAAAGUAUAACUGACGCUGAGGCACGAAAGUGCGGGGAUCAAACAGGAUUAGAUACCCUGGUAGUCCGCACCGUAAACGAUGAUCACUCGCUGUGUGCGAUAAACAGUACGCGGCCAAGCGAAAGCGAUAAAGUGAUCCCACCGCGGGGAGGUACGCCCGCCGAAGGGUAGGAAACGUAACGAAAGGAAAGUUAGGACGGACGUAGAGACGUUCGCCGACGGACGACCGACGAGGGGAGGAGGG
rnacentral:rRNA from 1 species